UUCCCCGGCUACAUCUCUCACCGGAGCAUCCGCAGCCAUCGCACAAGAGAUGCUGGAAAAACGGGAGUAACCCAAUCGCACGUAGCUUAGUAUGCGUGGAGUCCAAGAAGCUGCUUGAUGGAGCGGACUACCAGCUCAGAUCCAUGCCAUAGCAUAUACAUCAUGUACGUCAUGGAUGCAUGCAUAAAUAUGUACAGUGGUGAAACUUGAUCAGGGAGCUAGGACGUCAGCCAGUAGUAUUCAUUGGUGCCAUAUUUAUCUAAUAUCUCUGGAGAUUAUGCUUUCUCCUAAUGUAUAGAUCUUACACUGCCACAUUUAUCUUCUAUUCCCCACUAAAGGAAAGUGAAAUAUAUGUAAAACUUGAUACCAAGAUUCAGAUUGAGCGAGUAUAUCAAAAGAGAG
rnacentral:lncRNA from 1 species